rnacentral:rRNA from 1 species
GACGAACGCUGGCGGCGUGCUUAACACAUGCAAGUCGAACGGUAAGGCCCUUCGGGGUACACGAGUGGCGAACGGGUGAGUAACACGUGGGUGAUCUGCCCUGCACUUCGGGAUAAGCUUGGGAAACUGGGUCUAAUACCGGAUAGGACCACGGUCUGCAUGGAUUGUGGUGGAAAGCUUUUGCGGUGUGGGAUGGGCCCGCGGCCUAUCAGCUUGUUGGUGGGGUGAUGGCCUACCAAGGCGACGACGGGUAGCCGGCCUGAGAGGGUGUCCGGCCACACUGGGACUGAGAUACGGCCCAGACUCCUACGGGAGGCAGCAGUGGGGAAUAUUGCACAAUGGGCGCAAGCCUGAUGCAGCGACGCCGCGUGGGGGGAUGACGGCCUUCGGUUGGUAAACCUCUUUCUAGUAGGGACGAAGCGUAAGUGACGGUACC